rnacentral:rRNA from 1 species
GCUGAUGACGAGGUGCUACGGCACUGAAGUAACUGAUACCACACUUCCAGGAAAAGCCACUAAGCUUCAGGUUUAUCUAAACCGUACUGAAAACCGACACAGGUGGUCAGGUAGAGAAUACUCAGGCGCUUGAGAGAACUCGGGUGAAGGAACUAGGCAAAAUAGCACCGUAACUUCGGGAGAAGGUGCGCCGGCGUAGAUUGUAAAUCCUCGCGAUUGAAGGUUGAACCGGUCGAAGAUACCAGCUGGCUGCAACUGUUUAUUAAAAACACAGCACUCUGCAAACACGAAAGUGGACGUAUAGGGUGUGAUGCCUGCCCGGUGCUGGAAGGUUAAUUGAUGGUGUUAUCGAAAGAGAAGCUCCUGAUCGAAGCCCCAGUAAACGGCGGCCGUAACUAUAACGGUCCUAAGGUAGCGAAAUUCCUUGUCGGGUAAGUUCCGACCUGCACGAAUGGCAUAAUGAUGGCCAGGCUGUCUCCACCCGAGACUCAGUGAAAUUGAAAUCGCCGUGAAGAUGCGGUGUACCCGCGGCUAGACGGAAAGACCCCGUGAACCUUUACUAUAGCUUGACACUGAACAUUGAAUUUGAUGUGUAGGAUAGGUGGGAGCCUUUGAAGAUGACACGCCAGUGUUGUUGGAGGCGUCCUUGAAAUACCACCCUUUAACGUUUGAUGUUCUAACGAAGUGCCUGAAACGGGUACUCGGACAGUGUCUGGUGGGUAGUUUGACUGGGGCGGUCUCCUCCCAAAGCGUAACGGAGGAGCACGAAGGUUUGCUAAUGACGGUCGGACAUCGUCAGGUUAGUGCAAUGGUAUAAGCAAGCUUAACUGCGAGACAGACAAGUCGAGCAGGUGCGAAAGCAGGUCAUAGUGAUCCGGUGGUUCUGAAUGGAAGGGCCAUCGCUCAACGGAUAAAAGGUACUCCGGGGAUAACAGGCUGAUACCGCCCAAGAGUUCAUAUCGACGGCGGUGUUUGGCACCUCGAUGUCGGCUCAUCACAUCCUGGGGCUGAAGUAGGUCCAAGGGUAUGGCUGUUCGCCAUUUAAAGUGGUACGCGAGCUGGGUUUAGAACGUCGUGAGACAGUUCGGUCCCUAUCUGCCGUGGGCGUUGGAUGAUUGAAAGGGGCUGCUCCUAGUACGAGAGGACCGGAGUGGACGCAUCACUGGUGUUCCAGUUGUCUCGCCAGAGGCAUUGCUGGGUAGCUAAAUGCGGAAGAGAUAAGUGCUGAAAGCAUCUAAGCACGAAACUUGCCUUAAGAUGAGUCAUCCCUGACUUAGAGUCAGUAAGGGUUGUUGUAGACUACGACGUAGAUAGGUCUGGUGUGUAAGCGUUGCGAGACGUUGAGCUAACAGAUACUAAUUGCCCGAGAGGCUUAACUAU